AAAAUCCGUCGAUUUUUAAAAUCGUGAGGGUUCAAGUCCCUCUAUCCCC
rnacentral:tRNA from 6 species